UUUUUAAAAGAACAAAAUAGUCCCGCGGUGUAUCGCGGGUUAAAACCUAGUAGAAUUUAAUAUCCAUUCGGUUAUUUUCAAAUUCUUGGUUCGGGUCGAUUCAAUUUUUUGCAUCGGUUUCGGUUUUGUACAUUUAGAUCGGUUUAUUUGCCUAGGCCUAAGUUUUCUAAAUAAAGAUGUUUAGGCCCAUGUUUUUAUAUAGAUUUUAGUUUUGAAAGUAGUUUAGUUGGGCUAGGCCCAUGUCUAAUUUUAGUUUAGUUGAUGGGAUGACAUGGAAAAAUAAUAAGUUUUUAUUGGUCAAUGUAAAUGAGGUGUAUUAAUCGAAAUGUUUUGAUUAGCUAUUCAUUUUGCAGAGGUGUCAAGCUGUGGUUAACUGAAAAAGCUGAGGUGUCAGCACAGCAGAGAUUUGUAGUGUUUUUAGGGUAUUAAUUGAUUUUGUUAAAUCAAAUAAAACUUCUUUAUUAGAUUGCAUGGAAUUAGGAAUAGUUACGCAUAAGCGAUUUUUAAAAUCAUAUUAGGUUAAUCGAAAACAUCAAACCAUUUU
rnacentral:sRNA from 1 species